UUUGUACACACCGCCCGUCGCUACUACCGAUUGAUGGCUCAGUGAGGCGUCCGGACUGGCCCAGAGAGGCGGGCAACUGCCACUCAGGGCCGGAAAGCUCUCCAAACUCGGUCAUUUAGAGGAAGUAAAAGUCGUAACAAGGUCUCCGUUGGUGAACCAGCGGAGGGAUCAUUA
rnacentral:rRNA from 1 species